AUUGAACGCUGGCGGAAUGCUUUACACAUGCAAGUCGAACGGCAGCACGGACUUCGGUCUGGUGGCGAGUGGCGAACGGGUGAGUAAUGUAUCGGAACGUGCCCAGUCGUGGGGGAUAACGUAGUGAAAAUUACGCUAAUACCGCAUACGAUCUAUGGAUGGAAGCGGGGGAUCGCAAGACCUCGCGCGAUUGGAGCGGCCGAUAUCAGACUAGGUAGUUGGUGGGGUAAAGGCCCACCAAGCCAACGAUCUGUAGCUGGUCUGAGAGGACGACCAGCCACACUGGAACUGAGACACGGUCCAGACUCCUACGGGAGGCAGCAGUGGGGAAUUUUGGACAAUGGGCGAAAGCCUGAUCCAGCCAUUCCGCGUGCAGGAUGAAGGCCCUCGGGUUGUAAACUGCUUUUGUACAGAACGAAAAGGUUUCUACUAAUACUAGGAGCUCAUGGCGGUACUGUAAGAAUAAGCACCGGCUAACUACGUGCCAGCCGCCGCGGUAA
rnacentral:rRNA from 1 species